CAUCACUGGUGAACAUGGAAGCCAUUGGAGUUUUUGGACCAAAACGUGGAUUGAAAACUCUUCUUUGUUCUCAAACCCAUUUAUUUCCAGCAUGCAACUCUACCGUUUUCCUGUAACCUCAUAUCCUCGUAAGCAUGCACAUUUUGUUUCUUUGAAAGCGAUGGCUAAUAAUCUGGCUUGUGAAGGAAAUAAUCGUAAUUUCAAAAGCCUGUCCCUUCUACAUGGAUCAUCAAUCCCUCUUUGCUAACGUAGAUUUCUCACAAAUGGAUGGGCUUGGGAGAGAGAUAGAGGCACUAAAGCCACUAGUGAGGAACAUGUUCAUAUCUUCCAAAGGCAUUAAGAAGAAAAUUAUUUUUACCUAUUUGCUUGUGACACUUGGUCUCGCAUAUCAUUUUGAGGAUGAGAUCAUGGAGACUCUAGAAGAUGGUUUCCAAAAGAUAGACGAGAUGAUGGCGGGAGAAUAUGAUUUGUACACUGUUUCAGUCAUUUUCUAUGUUUUUCAGAACAUAUGGUUACAACAUUUCUUCUGGUGUUUUUGGGAGAUUCUUGGGGGACCAUGGAAAAUUUAAGGAAUGUCUUACAAGAGAUGCUAAGGGUAUGCUAAGCUUGCAUGAAGCUGCUCAUAUGGGGACGACUACAGAUUAUAUAUUGGAUGAAGCCUUAACCUCACAUUAAGUAAUUGGAGUCGUUAGUGUACAUGUGAACCUAAUCUCCUCAAGGCUUAUGCGAAACUCUUUGGGUCUACCACAGCAUAAAAACAUGGAGAUAUUAGUGGCAAAGGAAUUUAUCCGGUUCUACGAAAAGGAAGAAGAUAGCGACCUGGCGCUAAUUAAGUUUUCCAAGCUUUAACUUUAAAUUCCUCCAGCUACUUUACCUUCAAGAACUCAAAAUCCUUUCAAAAUGGUACAAGGAACAAGACUUUGAUCUAAGUUGCCCUUACACAGAGACAUACUCGUGGAAUUGAACCUCCCUACGCUAGGAUACAUGGAGCCGAAACAUUCAGAGUGAGAAUUCUUCUGACUAAAAUGUACACGAUGCAAGUAAUAGUAGAUG